rnacentral:lncRNA from 8 species
CUGAAAUGCUAGCACCUGGUUGCACUUUCCAGGUGACAAUUGAAGAUGGCUGCCAAUGAAGUAGCAGGCCUCUCUGCUCAGGUAGAACGGCCAACACAACACCUACAGUACACACACACACACACCUGAAUACCUGUUAAGCUAUUUAGUGUUCGUGAUAGUAAACGUUAACACAGAUGGCUUCUAGAUGUGGGCAGGGACAGGCAGCAGGAUCCCAGCCCCAGAGAAGACGACAGGAGUGCUCAGACCUCCAGGACACAUACCUACUCCAUUGGGAGCCUAGCCCUCCUCUCAGUAACCUGUCUCUCCAUGCCUCCUGGUGGUCCGGCAGGGACGAGCACAGAGAGACUGGGCCCUCCCUUGGGGAGCAACUGGUUGAGAGAAAUCAGCACGUUGCCAGACUACAGGAUUCACUGAGACGCGAGCGAGAGAAGGGUUCCAGCCUGCAGUCUCGGUGUAAACAGCAGGGGUCAGAGUUGAGGCGUCGAGAGCAGCACAGCGCCAGACUGAAGGAGAGACUAACCCAACUUGCAGAGAGACACAGAGAGAGAGGAGCCUGUAAGGAUCUGUCUAACCAUCUCUCACACUUAAUGUGCUCGCUCAUAUUCUAUACCACUCUAUCUUUCUCUCUAAAUUUCUCCCAGUCUCUCACACACCAUUCUAUCACUCUCCUUCUACCUACCCAUUGUAAUGACCUCUGCACUGAGGGAGGGGGCUUCAAAGGCCUCUGCAUUUGGGUGGGGGAGGCUGUGAAACUCUCCUGCCAUUGUUGGGCUCAUGGGCUUUGACACCUCACUUCACACCUCAGUGCUAAUUGAAGUUGCUAGCAACCAAGGUAACCUUAGCAAUCAGUCCUUAUAAAUAAAUUACAGUAAUAUACACUGCUCAAAAAAAUAAAGGGAACACUUAAACAACACAAUGUAACUCCAAGUCAAUCACACUUCUGUGAAAUCAAACUGUCCACUUAGGAAGCAACACUGAUUGACAAUACAUUUCACAUGCUGUUGUGCAAAUGGAAUAGACAACAGGUGGAAAUUAUAGGCAAUAAGCAAGACACCCCCAAUAAAGGAGUGGUUCUGCAGGUGGGGACCACAGACCACUUCUCAGUUCCUAUGCUUCCUGGCUGAUGUUUUGGUCACUUUUGAAUGCUGCCGGUGCUUUCACUCUAGUGGUAGCAUGAGACGGAGUCUACAACCCACACAAGUGGCUCAGGUAGUGC